rnacentral:rRNA from 1 species
UUAAAGGAAUUGACGGAAGGCCACACCAGGAUUGGAGCUUGCGGUUCAAUUUGACUCAACACCGGGAAUCUCACCCGACCCGGACACAGGAAGGAUUGACAGAUUAAGAGCUCUUUCUUGAUUCUGUGGGUAGUGGUGCAUGGUCGUUCGUAGUUGGUGGAGUGAUUUGUCUGGUUAAUUCCGAAUAACGAACGAGACUCUAGCCUACUAAAUAGACGUUCCGAUCCUUCGAGUCGGACGUUCUUCUUAGAGGGACAGGCGGCAUCUAGCCGCACGAGACAGAGCAAUAACAGGUCUGUGAUGCCCUUAGAUGUCCGGGGCCACACGCGUGCUACAUUGAAGGAAUCAGCGUGUGCUUUCCCUGUCCGACAGGAUUGGGUAACCCGUUGAAACUCCUUCGUGCUGGGGAUAGGAGUUUGCAAUUGUCCUCCUUGAACGAGGAAUUCCCAGUAAGCACGAGUCAUCAGCUCGUGCUGAUUACGUCCCUGGCCUUUGUACACAUCGCCCGUCGCUACUACCGAUUGAAUGAUUUAGUGAGGUCUUCGGACUGGCGCUCGGAUUGGCUUUCGGGUCGAGCCGACGUGCCGGAAAGAUGACCAAACUUGAUCAUUUAGAGGAAGUAAAAGUCGUAACAAAG